rnacentral:tRNA from 1 species
UCCCCUGUGGCUCAGUUGGUAGAGCAUGGUGUGUGCAACGCCAGGGUUGUGGGUUCGAUUCCCACCGAGGGCC